rnacentral:tRNA from 1 species
GGCUUUAUAGUCAAUUUAUGAUGUUAGACUGCAAUUCUAAAGUAAGAUAAUUUAUCUUAAAGCUU